GCGGACUCUGGCAAUAUGCCAUCAGGUGGAUGGCUCGGCUCAAGCGCCGAGGAAGGACGUGCCAAGCUGCGAUAUGCCUGGGGUAGGUGCACGGAGCCAAUGAACCCAGGAUCUCCUAAUGGGACCUCCUGACGUAUGUCGAUCAGUAAUGAUCGGGAACGCUCCGAAUUGAAGCAUCUCAGUAGGAGCAGGAAAAGAAACCAAUCGAGAUACCGUUAGUAGACGGCGAGUGAAAACGGUAGAGUUCAAACCGAAUCCCUCCAGAAAUGGAAGGGAAAUGUGGUGUUAAAGGGCAGUAUCAAAGGUCCCGGUCAACUCGGGUCGAACUCUGCUGGAAAGCAGGACCAUAGAAUGUGACAGUCAUGUAGAUUCGGGUUGAGGGAUCUGGUGUUGUUCCUGAGUACCGUGGGUUGGAUAUCCCGCGGGAAUUUGGGAGGUAUCAACUUCCAAAACUAAAUACGUCUUGAGACCGAUAGUGUACUAGUAGGGUGACCGAAAGCUGAAAAGUACCCCAAAAAGGGAGGUGCAAAGUGCCUGAAACCUGAUGGUGACGGAGCGAUACGGCAUGCAAGGAACUCCGGUAUGAAGGAAUCAGUCGCGAGGCUGUAGUACGGGUAUCGGUGCCGAUGUCGUAUCGUACGUUUCGAAAAACGGGCCAGGGAGUGUAUCUCAGUGGCGAUGGCUAACUCAGUCAUUGAGGAAGCCGGAGCGAAAGCAACAAGCGUGCAUCUUCGGAGAGGCGCGGCGUAUACAAGUGCGCGGAGUCACUGAGUUACUAUCCGAAGCCGGGCGAUCUAGGCGUGGGCAGGUUGAAGCGUGGCGAAAGCUACGUGGAGGACCGCAAGCGGUACUGAUCUGCAAAUCGUUCGCGUGACCUGCGUCUAGGGGUGAAAGGCCAAUCUAGCCCGGCAUCAGCUGGUUCCUUCCAAAACAUGUCGCAGCAUGACCCAUCUCGAGAUAGUCGGUGGAGUAGAGCACUGAUUGGAGGGACCUGGGGAGAAAUCCCUACCCCUCUUGUCAAACUCCGAACCCACCGGCGUCGUAGACAGGUGGAGUCUGGGCUACUGGGGUAAGCUUGUAGUCCGCGAGGGCAACAACCCGGACCGUGGUUAAGGUCCCCAAGUGUCGGCUAAGUGUUAUUCAAAGGGUGUCCCAAGCCCUAGACAGCUGGUAGGUUAGCUUAGAAGCAGCUAUCCUUUAAAGAGUGCGUAACAGCUCACCAGUCGAGGUUUGGGGCCCCGAAAAUGGACGGGGCUCAAGCCGACCACCGAUACCAUGGAGCACCGCGAGGUGAUCUGUUAGGAAGGCGUUGCGCUCGGGCAGAAGCUGGGCUGCGAAGUCCAGUGGACCGUGCGGAAACGAAAAUCCUGGUAAGAGUAGCAGCAAAGUCAGGUGAGAAUCCUGACCGCCGAAGGGGCUAGGUUUCCUCGGCAAUGAUUGUCAGCCGAGGGUUAGUCGGUCCUAAGGUGCACCGUAAUUCGAGUGCAUCGAAAGGGAAACAGGUUAAUAUUCCUGUACCACUCGAUGGAUCCGCUGACGCCUCAGGGCAGGCCGAGCAGUGUUGUCGCACUGUCCAAGCGUUGAAGCACCCGGAGAGCCGUAAUGGCGAGAAGGGAGUGAAGGCGUGAUGGCGUAAGUCGGCUGCACCCAGGGGCCCGUGAAAAGGUUAGUCGAGUGACCGUACCAAGAACUGACACAGGUGCCCCUGGCUGAAAAGGCCAAGGCGUGUCGGAUAUAUACUGGCUAAGGGAAUUCGGCAAAAUAGCUCCGUAACUUCGGGAGAAGGAGUGCCUGCUGUGAAGACAGCAGGUCGCAGUGACCAGGGGGCUCUAACUGUCUAAUAACAACAUAGGAGAUCGCAAACCCGUAAGGGCUAGUACGAUCUCUGAAUCCUGCCCAGUGCGGGCACCUGAAAACCCGGUCCAACGGGAAGAAGGGCCUGUAAACGGCGGGGGUAACUAUGACCCUCUUAAGGUAGCGUAGUACCUUGUCGCUUAAUUGGCGACUUGCAUGAAUGGAUCAAUGAGGGCCCCACUGUCCCUAGCCAGAGUCCGGUGAACAUAUCUUUCUAGCGCAGAGGCUAGAGACCCCUAGGGGGAAGUGAAGACCCCGUGGAGCUUUACUGCAGCCUGUCGCUGGGUUGUGGUCCUGGAUGUACAGCGUAGGUAGGAGGCGUCGAAACUCACGCGCCAGCGUGGGUGGAGCCGUCCCUGGGACACUACCCUUCCAGAACUACGACCCUUACUCCGCAAGGAGGACACCGAUAGGUAGGCAGUUUGCCUGGGGCGGGACGCCCUUGAAAAGAUAUCAAGGGUGCGCAAUGGUCAACUCCGGUGGGUCGGAAACCCACUUAAGAGUGCAAGAGCAAAAGUUGGCCUGACGUGAUCCGGCACAGUAGCGGAUCGCGGAACGAAAGUUGGUUCUAGCGAACCUUCAUGUCCUGCUUGAUACGGGCUUAAGACGACAGAAAAGUUACCCCGGGGAUAAUAGAGUCGUUGCCGGCAAGAGCACAUAUCGACCCGGCAGCUUGCUACCUCGAUGUCGGUUCUUUCCAUCCUGGCUGUGCAGCAGCAGCCAAGGGUGAGGUUGUUCGCCUAUUAAAGGAGAUCGUGAGCUGGGUUUAGACCGUCGUGAGACAGGUCGGUUACUAUCUGCUAGGGGUGUCUGAGGUCUGAGGGUAAGCUGCUUUUAGUACGAGAGGAACAGAGCAGCGGUGCCACUGGUCGAUCGGUUGUCCGACAGGGCAUUGCCGAGCAGCUACGCACCAAGGAAUAAGAGCUGAAUGCAUCUAAGCUCGAAAUCCGGCUCAAAACGAGACCUCAGUAAGGAUGCCGGUAGAAGACCGGAUGAUAGAGUCGGGAUGUAAGCACCAAGGCAACGAAGUGUUAAGUCCGCGGCAACUAAGUUUCCGUGCCGGGGUUCGC
rfam:Methanohalobium evestigatum Z-7303, complete genome.